rnacentral:lncRNA from 1 species
GGAGCCCGCCCCGCCUCCGCGCACCUCCCUCCCUCGGUUCAGCAGCCGGUCCAUCCAUCCGUGCACUCUUCCUGGCCCCGCCAUCCAGCCUGGUCCUGGCCGUCCCCCGGAUCUGGGCCUGGAAACCCCGCCUGCCCUCCUUUCUCCUGCUCGUGGAAUCGCUGCAGGGCCCGCCCAGCCCGUGGUCCCGGUCGCAGCAACCCGGUGGCGGCUGCCAGCUCGAGACUCUCCAUGUCCCACAUAAUGCACAUUGGGAAGGCCUCCGACUCCUGAGACAUCUCGCCAAGCUUCCCCGGGCUAUUCCACACCUGGGAUCAGCCGGUGUUCCGGGUGCCUUUGCAGCACGGGCAGCACUAAUUGUGCCCAUCGGUGACUCAGGUGAGCAGCAUUGGGAUGGGCUUGUUUCUGGAGUCCUGGGUCCCCAGUUAACCCCAGAUACACACACAGACACACACGUGUGCUCUACCUCAGGCCAGGCUUUCCUUACUCCAUCUCAGUUAUUAGAAUUCUGUUACUAGGAGAAACACCAAGGCUUCUCACCUUUUUUUGCCCAGGGAAUAUUCAGACUUAUAGGAAAUAAUCUUUUCUGCCUUCUUU